UACGAAGGGGGCUAGCGUUGCUCGGAAUCACUGGGCGUAAAGGGCGCGUAGGCGGCGUUUUUAAGUCAGGGGUGAAAUCCUGGAGCUCAACUCCAGAACUGCCUUUGAUACUGGCAAUCUUGAGUCCGGAAGAGGUGAGUGGAACUCCUAAGUGUAGAGGUGGAAUUCGUAGAUAUUAGGAAGAACACCAGUGGCGAAGGCGG
rnacentral:rRNA from 1 species